rnacentral:rRNA from 1 species
UACAGAGGUCUCCAGCGUUGUUCGGAUUCAUUGGGCGUAAAGGGUGCGUAGGUGGCGCCGUAAGUCAGGUGUGAAAUUUCGGAGCUUAACUCCGAAACUGCAUUUGAUACUGCGGUGCUUGAGGACUGGAGAGGAGACUGGAAUUUACGGUGUAGCAGUGAAAUGCGUAGAGAUCGUAAGGAAGACCAGUGGCGAAGGCGGGUCUCUGGACAGUUCCUGACACUGAGGCACGAAGGCCAGGGGAGCAAACGGG